rnacentral:lncRNA from 1 species
AAAAUAAUAACAAAAUUAACAAAUGCCUUUAAAAUAAUAACAAAAUUAACAAUAAAAUAAGUUUUAUACAACAUCUAAACAAUAACAACAAAAUAGUAGCAACAUAAUAGUAAAAUGGUAGCCAAAUAGGGAGAAAACAACAAGAAAUUAACAUUCAAAAACAAAAAAAAAAAUACAAUGCCUUACCCGAUGCCCGACCUAUUUUUUAAACGGGCAUUUUUUUUGUCCAAGCCCAUUUUCCAGGUCUAUAUUUUUGU